UCCGAUUUCCAUCGGCCGUCUCGGAUGAGUCCCCACCUCUACGUGCUGGUAACAUCCAACAAGGGUUGCGCUCGUUGCGGGACUUAACCCAACAUCUCACGACACGAGCUGACGACAACCAUGCACCACCUGUUCCUCCCUCUCCCCUCUCAGGGCUCCCCUAUAUCUCUAUAGGCUCAAAAAGGCUGUCAAGGGCUGGUAAGGUUCUUCGCGUUGCUUCGAAUUAAACCACAUGCUCCACCGCUUGUGCGGGCCCCCGUCAAUUCCUUUGAGUUUCAGCUUUGCAACUGUACUCCCCAGGCGGAGUGCUUAUUGGGUUCCCUUCGGCACAGAGCAAGUCUCCUUACCCUACACCUAGCACUCAUCGUUUACAGCGUGGACUAC
rnacentral:misc_RNA from 1 species